AAUCUUCCACAAUGGGCGCAAGCCUGAUGGAGCAACACCGCGUGAGUGAAGAAGGGUNNNGGCUCNUCAAGCUCUGUUGUUGGNGACNAACGUGCGUGAGAGCAACUGUUCACGCAGUGACGGUAUCCAACCAGUAAGUCACGGCUAACUACGUCCCAGCAGCCGCGGUAAUACGUAGGUGGCAAGCGUUAUCCGGAUUUAUUGGGCGUAAAGCGAGCGCAGGCGGUUGCUUAGGUCUGAUGUGAAAGCCUUCGGCUUAACCGAAGAAGUGCAUCGGAAACCGGGCGAAUUGAGUGCAGAAGAGGACAGUGGAACUCCAUGUGUAGCGGUGGAAUGCGUAGAUAUAUGGAAGAACACCAGUGGCGAAGGCGGCUGUCUGGUCUGCAACUGACGCUGAGGCUCGAAAGCAUGGGUAGCGAACAG
rnacentral:rRNA from 1 species